rnacentral:rRNA from 1 species
GACGAACGCUGGCGGCGUGCUUAACACAUGCAAGUCGAACGGAAAGGCCCUUCCUGCAGUGUACUCGAGUGGCGAACGUGUGUGUAACACGUGUGUGCUCUCCCCUUCACUUCGGUAUAAGCCUGGAAAACUUGGUCUAAUACCGUAUAGGCGCCCUUUUUAGUUUGAUGGUUGGAAAGUUUUUUCGGUGUGGGAUGGACUCGCGGCCUAUCAGCUUGUUGGUGGGGUAAUGGCCUACCAAGGCUGCGACGGGUAGCCGGCCUGAGAGGGUGAACGGCCACAUUGGGACUGAGAUACGGCCCAGACUCCUACGGGAGGCAGCAGUGGGGAAUAUUGCACAAUGGGCGGAAGCCUGAUGCAGCGACGCCGCGUGGGGGAUGACGGCCUUCGGGUUGUAAACUGCUUUCGAUAGGGACGAAGCUUUUUGUGACGGUAGCAAGAUAAGAAGCACCGGCUAACUACGUG